CAUGAUUAGAGGAGCCCCAGAGAAGAGUGGACUGACAGCCAUGGGAUGGAUCUAAACCUUUUCCUCGAGGAGAAGAAAUUUACCACUGGGCACACAUAAAUAAUCUCACAGAAGUCCACUUUGUGCUGGCACACAACAGCUGCUCAGAAGUUAUAUGCUGAAUGAAUAUAUGAAUGACCUCAUGGUUCAGUGAAAAA
rnacentral:lncRNA from 1 species